GAUGAACGCUGGCGGCGUGCCUAAUACAUGCAAGUCGGGCGAACAGACGAGGAGCUUGCUCCUCUGACGUUAGCGGCGGACGGGUGAGUAACACGUGGAUAACCUACCUAUAAGACUGGGAUAACUUCGGGAAACCGGAGCUAAUACCGGAUAAUAUAUUGAACCGCAUGGUUCAAUAGUGAAAGACGGUUUUGCUGUCACUUAUAGAUGGAUCCGCGCCGCAUUAGCUAGUUGGUAAGGUAACGGCUUACCAAGGCAACGAUCCGUAGCCGACCUGAGAGAGUGAUCGGCCACACUGGAACAGAGACACGGUCCAGACUCCUACGGGAGGCAGCAGUAGGGAAUCUUCCGCGAUGGGCGAAAGCAUGACGGAGCAACGCCGCGAGAGUGAUGAGGGUCUUCGGAUCGUAAAACUCUGUUAUUAGGGAAGAACAAAUGUGUAAGUAACUAUGCACGUCUUGACGGUACCUAAUCAGAAAGCCACGGCUAACUACGUG
rnacentral:rRNA from 1 species